CCUACGGGUGGCAGCAGUGGGGAAUAUUGCACAAUGGGGGGAACCCUGAUGCAGCGACGCCGCGUGGGUGAAGGAGUAUUUCGGUAUGUAAAGCCCUAUCAGCAGGGAAGAACAAUGACGGUACCUGACUAAGAAGCACCGGCUAAAUACGUGCCAGCAGCCGCGGUAAUACGUAUGGUGCAAGCGUUAUCCGGAUUUACUGGGUGUAAAGGGGGCGCAGACGGCGAUGCAAGCCAGGAGUGAAAGCCCGGGGCCCAACCCCGGGACUGCUCUUGGAACUGCGUGGCUAGAGUGCAGGAGGGGCAGGCGGAAUUCCUGGUGUAGCGGUGAAAUGCGUAGAUAUCAGGAGGAACACCGGUGGCGAAGGCGGCCUGCUGGACUGCAACUGACGUUGAGGCCCGAAAGCGUGGGGAGCAAACAGGAUUAGAUACCCUGGUAGUC
rnacentral:rRNA from 1 species